rnacentral:rRNA from 1 species
GAUGAACGCUGGCGGCGUGCCUAAUACAUGCAAGUCGAGCGAACGGACGAGAAGCUUGCUUUUCUGAUGUUAGCGGCGGACGUGUGAGUAACACGUGUAUAACCUACCUAUAUUACUGGGAUAACUUCGGGAAACCGGAUCUAAUACCGUAUAAUAUUUUGAACCGCAUUGUUCAAAAGUGAAUGACGGUCUUGCUGUCUCUUAUAGAUGGAUCCCCGCUGCAUUAGCUAGUUGGUAAGGUAACGGCUUACCAAGGCAACGAUGCAUAGCCGACCUGAGAGGGUGAUAGGCCACACUGGAAGUGAGACACGGACAGGAGUCCUACGGGAGGCAGCAGUAGGGAAUCUUACGCAAUGGGCGAAAGCAUGACGGAGCAACGGCGCGUGAGAGAUGAAGGUUUUGGGAUCGUAAAAAUCUGUUAUUAGGGAAGAACAGAUGUGUAAGUAAAUGUGCACAGAUUGACGGUAACUAAUAAGAAAGCAACGGCUAACUACGUG